rnacentral:lncRNA from 1 species
CUAAGUGUGGUUAUAUUUGGCCUGCUAGUUUGAUUUAUUAAGAGACGAUGGACGACGAUAAACGACGGACGAUGGACGCCAAGUGAUGAGAAAUGCUGACUUUUAGGUCAGGUGAGCUAAAAUAGGUAUUUUUUUGACAUGAAAGACACAUGUACUGAGGUAAGUAAACCUUAUUAAAGUGCAUCUUGUAUGUCAUGUCGUAGAUCUAGACCAAAAGUGAUUUAAUUACAAUGUUCGAUAGGAA